GCUCAAAAAUACGAGCUUAAUUGAACGGGUCGCAUGACUUGGGCCCUUUUUCUUUCUUCUUUUUUCUUUUUUUUUCUUUUUUUCUCUUUUUUCUUUUUUGGCUGGGCGGCUGGCUGUUGGGUUGCCUGGCCUGCUAGGCCUUCUGUUGGGCCUGGCGCUGAAUUGGGCCUGUUGGACUGCUUCUGGGCCUGCUAUUGGGCUGCUGUUGGCCUGCUUCCUUUUUUUUUGCUUUUGCCUUCUUCUUUUUUUUGCUUUGGACUGCUUGAGUUGUGUUGCUGGGAGUGGGCUUAGCCUGCUGUUGGCUUGCUGCUAGGGCUGCUGCCGUGGGUCGGGUCAGUGGCUCGGGUUGCGAAUCGGGUCGGGUCGACCCGACUAUUCUAUUUUUUCUUUUUUUCCCUUUUUUUCUUUCCCUUUCUUCUUUCUUUUUUUCUUUUUUUCCUUCUUUCUUCUCUUCUUCUUCCUUCCCUUCGACCUUGCUCUUCCUCGCCGUCGCCGCUUCCUUCGCUCGGUGUUGACGACGACGGUGCUGCGGUGGCGGUGGUUGUGGUGACGGUGGGGGAAUCAACUGGAUUCGAAAGUUUUUUUUUGAAAUUUCUCUACUAUUUUUUUGCUGCCCGAAAAUGAAUCCCCCUCUCUUUCUCUCAUUUUCUUCUUUUAAAUCCUUCAAUUUUGUCUUCUUCUUCUUUGUUUUCAGGUGGCAGUGGAGCAAUCAUGGCCUAGGGAGGCUGCUGGAGUAGCUGGAGGUGGGAGAAGCACGCUCGACUACUGAUUGCGGCGAUUUGACAAGUCCAGAAGGACCAAACUGCAGAAGAUGUGAAAUUUCUAGGGUAAAAGUGCAAUUUUAGGAAAAUAUGGGGCCAAAAUGUAAUUUUUAGAAAGUUUAGGGGCCCAAAUGUAAUUUACAAAUUAUUAGGGGUUAAGAUGUAAAUUUAGAAAAAAAUAUAGGGGUCAAAAUGUAAUUUUUGAAAAAUUCAGGGGCUAAAAUGUAAUUUGUAUUUUUUGUUUU